rnacentral:rRNA from 1 species
CGGGACACGUGGUAUCCUGUCUGAAUAUGGGGGGACCAUCCUCCAAGGCUAAAUACUCCUGACUGACCGAUAGUGAACCAGUACCGUGAGGGAAAGGCGAAAAGAACCCCGGCGAGGGGAGUGAAAAAGAACCUGAAACCGUGUACGUACAAGCAGUGGGAGCACGCUUAGGCGUGUGACUGCGUACCUUUUGUAUAAUGGGUCAGCGACUUAUAUUCUGUAGCAAGGUUAACCGAAUAGGGGAGCCGAAGGGAAACCGAGUCUUAACUGGGCGUUAAGUUGCAGGGUAUAGACCCGAAACCCGGUGAUCUAGCCAUGGGCAGGUUGAAGGUUGGGUAACACUAACUGGAGGACCGAACCGACUAAUGUUGAAAAAUUAGCGGAUGACUUGUGGCUGGGGGUGAAAGGCCAAUCAAACCGGGAGAUAGCUGGUUCUCCCCGAAAGCUAUUUAGGUAGCGCCUCGUGAAUUCAUCUCCGGGGGUAGAGCACUGUUUCGGCAAGGGGGUCAUCCCGACUUACCAACCCGAUGCAAACUGCGAAUACCGGAGAAUGUUAUCACGGGAGACACACGGCGGGUGCUAACGUCCGUCGUGAAGAGGGAAACAACCCAGACCGCCAGCUAAGGUCCCAAAGUCAUGGUUAAGUGGGAAACGAUGUGGGAAGGCCCAGACAGCCAGGAUGUUGGCUUAGAAGCAGCCAUCAUUUAAAGAAAGCGUAAUAGCUCACUGGUCGAGUCGGCCUGCGCGGAAGAUGUAACGGGGCUAAACCAUGCACCGAAGCUGCGGCAGCGACGCUUAUGCGUUGUUGGGUAGGGGAGCGUUCUGUAAGCCUGUGAAGGUGUGCUGUGAGGCAUGCUGGAGGUAUCAGAAGUGCGAAUGCUGACAUAAGUAACGAUAAAGCGGGUGAAAAGCCCGCUCGCCGGAAGACCAAGGGUUCCUGUCCAACGUUAAUCGGGGCAGGGUGAGUCGACCCCUAAGGCGAGGCCGAAAGGCGUAGUCGAUGGGAAACAGGUUAAUAUUCCUGUACUUGGUGUUACUGCGAAGGG